rnacentral:tRNA from 1 species
GCCCUCGUAGCUCAGUGGAUAGAGCAAUUCCCUUCUAAGGAAGAGGUCGUGCGUUCAAGUCGCACCGGGGGCACCA